AGUGGCGUACGGGUGAGUAACACGUGGAUGAUCUGCCCUUUAGUGGGGAAUAACCCUGGGAAACCGGGGCUAAUACCGCAUAAGCCCGAGAGGGGAAAGCAGCAAUGCGCUGAAGGAGGAGUCCGCGGCCGAUUAGCUGGUUGGGAGGGUAAAAGCCUACCGAGGCGAAGAUCGGUAGCCGGCCUGAGAGGGCACACGGCCACACUGGCACUGAAACACGGGCCAGACUCCUACGGGAGGCAGCAGUGGGGAAUCUUGCACAAUGGGGGAAACCCUGAUGCAGCGACGCCGCGUGAGCGGUGAAGCCCUUCGGGGUGUAAAGCUCUUUCGGCAGGGACGAUGAUGACGGUACCUGCAGAAGCAGCUGCGGCUAACUACGUGCCAGCAGCCGCGGUAAUACGUAGGCAGCGAGCGUUGUUCGGAGUUACUGGGCGUAAAGGGUGUGUAGGCGGUUCUCUAAGUUUGGUGUGAAAUCUCCCGGCUCAACCGGGAGGGUGCGCCGAAAACUGGGGGACUCGAGUGCGGGAUGGGAGAGUAGAAUUCCUGGUGUAGCGGUGAAAUGCGUAGAUAUCAGGAGGAAUACCGGUGGUGUAGACGGCUCUCUGGACCGCCACUGACGCUGAGACACGAAAGCGUGGGUAGCAAACAGGAUUAGAUACCCUGGUAGUCCACGCCCUAAACGAUGCAUAUUUGGUGUAGGUCAUUCAGUUGAUCUGUGCCGGAGCUAACGCGUUAAAUAUGCCGCCUGGGGAGUACAGUCGCAAGGCUGAAACUCAAAGGAAUUGACGGGGGCCCGCACAAGCGGUGGAGCAUGUGGUUCAAUUCGA
rnacentral:rRNA from 1 species